CGAACGAUGAAGCCUAGCUUGCUAGGUGGAUUAGUGGCGCACGGGUGAGUAAUAUAUAGAUAACGUGCCUCUUAGUCUGGGAUAGCCAUUGGAAACGAUGAUUAAUACUGGAUACUCCUUCUCUUUAUAAUUAGAGUUGGGAAAGUUUUUCGCUAAGAGAUCGGUCUAUAUCCCAUCAGUUAGUUGGUAAGGUAACGGCUUACCAAGGCAAUGACGGGUAKCGGGUUUGAGAGGAUGAUCCGCCACACUGGUACUGAGACACGGACCAGACUCCUACGGGAGGCAGCAGUGAGGAAUAUUGCACAAUGGAGGAAACUCUGAUGCAGCAACGCCGCGUGGAGGAUGACGCAUUUCGGUGUGUAAACUCCUUUUAUAUGUCAAGAAAAUGACGGUAGCAUAUGAAUAAGCACCGGCUAACUCCGUGCCAGCAGCCGCGGUAAUACGGAGGGUGCAAGCGUUAUUCGGAAUCACUGGGCGUAAAGGACGCGUAGGCGGGAAGCCAAGUCUGAUGUGAAAUCCUAUGGCUUAACCAUAGAACUGCAUUGGAAACUGGUUACCUAGAGUAUGG
rnacentral:rRNA from 1 species